rnacentral:rRNA from 1 species
GAUGAACGCUGGCGGCGUGCUUAACACAUGCAAGUCGAACGAAGCACCUUGAUUUGAUUCUUCGGAUGAAGAUCUUGGUGACUGAGUGGCGGACGGGUGAGUAACGCGUGGGUAACCUGCCUCAUACAGGGGGAUAACAGUUAGAAAUGACUGCUAAUACCGCAUAAGACCACAGCACCGCAUGGUGCAGGGGUAAAAACUCCGGUGGUAUGAGAUGGACCCGCGUCUGAUUAGGUAGUUGGUGGGGUAACGGCCUACCAAGCCGACGAUCAGUAGCCGACCUGAGAGGGUGACCGGCCACAUUGGGACUGAGACACGGCCCAAACUCCUACGGGAGGCAGCAGUGGGGAAUAUUGCACAAUGGGGGAAACCCUGAUGCAGCGACGCCGCGUGAGCGAUGAAGUAUUUCGGUAUGUAAAGCUCUAUCAGCAGGGAAGAAAAUGACGGUACCUGACUAAGAAGCACCGGCUAAAU